UGGGGAAUAUUGGACAAUGGGCGCAAGCCUGAUCCAGCCAUGCCGCGUGAGUGAUGAAGGCCCUAGGGUUGUAAAGCUCUUUCACCGGUGAAGAUAAUGACGGUAACCGGAGAAGAAGCCCCGGCUAACUUCGUGCCAGCAGCCGCGGUAAUACGAAGGGGGCUAGCGUUGUUCGGAUUUACUGGGCGUAAAGCGCACGUAGGCGGACUAUUAAGUCAGGGGUGAAAUUCCGGGGCUCAACCCCGGAACUGCCUUUGAUACUGGUAGUCUUGAGUUCGAGAGAAGUGAGUGGAAUUCCGAGUGUAGAGGUGAAAUUCGUAGAUAUUCGGAGGAACACCAGUGGCGAAGGCGGCUCACUGGCUCGAUACUGACGCUGAGGUGCGAAAGCGUGGGGAGCAAACAGG
rnacentral:rRNA from 1 species